CCUGCACCUAGAAGUGUGGCUAGUGUGUCACCUAUGCAUCAGUAGGUGACAGAGAGGAAAGAAGCUAUGCUACAUCUCUGACUUACCCUGUCUUCUGACUUGUGAACAUCUGAAUGAUUGAUAAGCUAAUGUU